CCCUUAGAUGUCCUGGGCUGCACGCGCGCUACACUGAUGAAUUCAAAAAGUAAACCUUCUCUGAAAGGAGUGGGUAAACUCAAACGUUCAUCGUGAUGGGGAUAGAUUUUUGCAAUUAUGGAUCUUCAACGAGGAAUGCCUAGUAGAUGCAAGUCAUCAGCUUGCGUUGAUUACGUCCCUGCCUAUUGUACACACCGCCCGUCGCUCCUACCGAUUGAGUGGUCCGGUGAGUAAUUCGGACUUACACUUCCUUCGGAAGUGAAAGAAAGUUUCGCGAACCUUACCACUUAGAGGAAGGAGAAGUCGUAUCA
rnacentral:rRNA from 1 species